GGAACGCCUGGGACGCGACUGACAACUUUUACAGGUUUGGUUUGAAUUUCAAAUCUCUUUUACUUUAUCUCUAACGGCUAUAUUUGCUUUUUGGGCUAUAAAAGGGAGCUCUUAAGUGCUUCAAAACAACUUUUCACCAACCCAAAAGCUAGAUCAUUUAAGAGAGAAGCAAGAGAGAGAAGUUCAAGGGAGUGAGUGCAUUCAAGUGAAGAAAUCAAGUGUUUUCAAGCUUCCCAAGUGAUUUCAAGCUCAACCACUCUCUUCCGCUCGUGCAUUCAAAGCUCACACUCAAAUCUACGCGAUCCACAUCGGAAGAAUCACCAUUUCCCACGCUUCCAACGGCAAAAGGAUUCUUCCAGGUUCUAUUGUUCAUCAUUGCCAUAUUUGCUUUUCUAGAGCUUUUCUUUUAUGUGUAAACUCUUUCAUUGUGGUGCUUGUUCCAGUCAAGGGACUUGGAACAAGGGAAAGGCGUCCCAAGCCUAAGUGAAAUUGGGGGUGUUAGGGUUUGUUGUGAGCCCGGUGUAAAACAA
rnacentral:lncRNA from 1 species